rnacentral:rRNA from 1 species
UACGUAGGGGGCAAGCGUUGUCCGGAAUCACUGGGCUUAAAGCGUGUGUAGGCGGAUCGUUAAGUGCCUUGUGAAAUCCCACGGCUUAACCGUGGAACUGCUCGGCAUACUGGCGGUCUUGAGCCAGCUAGGGGCUACCGGAACAAAUGGUGGAGCGGUGAAAUGCGUAGAUAUCAUUUGGAACGCCAAUGGUGAAAACAGGUAGCUGGGGCUGUGCUGACGCUGAGACACGAAAGCCAGGGGAGCGAACGGG